GUGCUUGCUUCGGCAGCACAUAUACUAAAAUUGGAAUGAUACAGAGAAGAUUAGCAUGGCCCCUGUGCAAGGAUGACGCACAGAUUUGUGAAGCAUUCCAUAUUAAA
ensembl:snRNA U6 U6 spliceosomal RNA